CAUCGAUCCCAACGAUCAACAAACU
rnacentral:miRNA from 1 species